GAGUCUACUUUUAACUACUAAUACCUACCACCUUGCCAAUAACUGUCUAUGAAUCUUUUGUGAGUACUGAAUUUAUUCUGGAAGAAGUCUAUCUCCUACUCCUAUCACCACUGUCUAAAUAAAGAUGGAAAAGAUGGGGGUUUUAUACAGCCAAAAGAGAAGGUGCUUCUUCUUAAUUUGGGGAUGGUGGAACAUUCUGGUUUGAUAACAAAGCUCAACACGUCUAGGUGUUUUCACUAUUGGGAAGUGUGGUUUAGCUGGACCUGCCCCAGGGUGCCUGGUCAGCAGAGCAGAUCCACCAUCAGCGUCUGCCGAAGGGGAGAGUUUCUGCUCCUCAAGAGUAAUGUCAAGGAGGAUUUGAACAGCCCACUCUCCUGGACUCAGAGAGAAGUUUUUUCACACCUCUUCCAAAGACACUGGUGCCGGAAGCAUGCUUUGGGCCAUAUGUAAGAAGCAGCUAGUGCAAAGAUAGCCUUGCCCAAGUAUUCCCAGCGGCCUUUAAAGGGCAGAGUUGCAGCAUAUGGGAUCUUCAGUCUCCUUUGUGGCAUGCAGGUUAUUUAAUUCUGACAUAUGGGAUCUCGUUCCUUGACCCGGGAUCGAACCUGCUGCUGCUAAGUCACUUCAGUUGUGUCCAACUCUGUGCGACCCCAGUGAUGGCAGCCCACCAGGCUCCCCCAUCCCUGGGAUUCUCCAGGCAAGAACACUGGAGUA